UACGGAGGGUGCAAGCGUUAUCCGGAUUCACUGGGUUUAAAGGGCGCGUAGGUGGCUUUGUAAGUCAGUGGUGAAAUCUUAGAGCUUAACUCUAAAACUGCCAUUGAUACUGCUUAGCUUGAAUCACGUCGAGGUGGAUGGAAUAUUACAUGUAGCGGUGAAAUGCUUAGAUAUGUAAUAGAACACCGAUUGCGAAGGCAGUUCACUAGGCGUGUAUUGACACUGAGGCUCGAAAGCGUGGGGAUCAAACAGG
rnacentral:rRNA from 1 species